AUUGAACGCUGGCGGCAUGCUUUACACAUGCAAGUCGAACGGUAACAGGCCUUCGGGUGCUGACGAGUGGCGAACGGGUGAGUAAUGCAUCGGAACGUGCCCAGAGGUGGGGGAUAACGCAGCGAAAGCUGUGCUAAUACCGCAUGUGAUCUGAGGAUGAAAGCGGGGGACCGAGCAGCAAUGUUUGGCCUCGCGCCUCUGGAGCGGCCGAUGUCAGAUUAGGUAGUUGGUGGGGUAAAGGCCUACCAAGCCGACGAUCUGUAGCUGGUCUGAGAGGACGACCAGCCACACGGGGACUGAGACACGGCCCAGACGCCUGCGGGAGGCAGCAGUGGGGAAUUUUGGACAAUGGGCGCAAGCCUGAUCCAGCAAUGCCGCGUGAGGGAAGAAGGCCUUCGGGUUGUAAACCGCUUUUGUACGGAACGAAAAGGCUCUGGCUAAUACCUGGGGCUGAUGACGGUACCGGAAGAAUAAGCACCGGCUAACUACGUG
rnacentral:rRNA from 1 species